rnacentral:rRNA from 1 species
UACGAAGGGUGCAAGCGUUACUCGGAAUUACUGGGCGUAAAGCGUGCGUAGGUGGUUCGUUAAGUCUGAUGUGAAAGCCCUGGGCUCAACCUGGGAAUUGCAUUGGAUACUGGCGGGCUAGAGUGCGGUAGAGGAUGGCGGAAUUCCCGGUGUAGCAGUGAAAUGCGUAGAGAUCGGGAGGAACAUCUGUGGCGAAGGCGGCCGUCUGGACCAGCACUGACACUGAGGCACGAAAGCGUGGGGAGCAAACAGG